UGAAUGGAAUUGGAAAUUUUUUUGUUGUUUGUUUGAAAAUCUUCCUUUUUUUGGCUUGUUCCUAAUUAUAAUUUAUUGAUCUACUAAGCAAUAACGAUGAUCAAACAGAAAAAAAGUUCCCGAAUCAUCAUCAUCAUCAUCAACAAAUUGUGCCUUUUUCAUCUUCAUAUCAUUCACGCGAUCUCUCUCUCUCUCUCUCUCUCUCCAACACCCAUUCCUUUCAUCAUUUAGAUCAGAAAGUUUCCAGAAACAUCACACACACAAAAAUUCUCACGCUUAGCUUGAAUAUUGCGCAAAUCAAAUCAGAUAAAUUAACUUAUUCACACGUCACUGGUCAUCUUUAUUCAUCAUCACCACUGGGGGGUUAAAUUAUUCUUAACCCUAC